rnacentral:rRNA from 1 species
GAUCAAGUGUCAAAAGGGCAUUUGGUGGAUGCCUUGGCAUGCACAGGCGAUGAAGGACGUGAUACGCUGCGAUAAGCCGUGGGGAGCUGCGAAUGAGCUUUGAUCCAUGGAUCUCCGAAUGGGGCAACCCACCUUAAAUACUUGGAAAAUUUAAGUCGUGCGCGAGCACGGCUUAAGUUUCCAAGUAUUGUUACAAGGUAUCUUAUUCUGAAUACAUAGGGAUAAGAAGCGAACGCAGGGAACUGAAACAUCUAAGUACCUGCAGGAAAGGACAUCAACCGAGACUCCGCAAGUAGUGGCGAGCGAACGCGGACCAGGCCAGUGGCAAUGCGGAAUGAAGUGGAAUGAUCUGGAAAGGUCGGCCGUAGCGGGUGACAGCCCCGUACACGUAGAACACGCAUUGUCCUUGAGUAAGGCGGGACACGUGAAAUCCUGUCUGAACAUGGGGAGACCACUCUCCAAGCCUAAGUACUCGUGCAUGACCGAUAGCGAACAAGUACCGNGGGGAGACCACUCUCCAAGCCUAAGUACUCGUGCAUGACCGAUAGCGAACAAGUACCGUGAGGGAAAGGUGAAAAGCACCCCGACAAGGGGAGUGAAAUAGAACCUGAAACCGGAUGCCUACAAACAGUCGGAGCCCGCCCUUCAAAUUCCUUGGAGGGGCGUUUCGAAUGUCUCGUCGUUUGCGGCGGGAAUUUGAAAGACUUUAAAAGCGCCCACAAAUGCAAGGCAUUUGAUGGGUGGGUGACGGCGUACCUUUUGUAUAAUGGGUCAACGACUUAGUGUGACAUGCAAGCUUAAGCCGGUAGGUGGAGGCGUAGCGAAAGCGAGUCUGAAGNGUGAGGGAAAGGUGAAAAGCACCCCGACAAGGGGAGUGAAAUAGAACCUGAAACCGGAUGCCUACAAACAGUCGGAGCCCGCAAGGGUGACGGCGUACCUUUUGUAUAAUGGGUCAACGACUUAGUGUGACAUGCAAGCUUAAGCCGGUAGGUGGAGGCGUAGCGAAAGCGAGUCUGAACAGGGCGCCUUAGUAUGUCGCAUUAGACCCGAAACCGAGUGAUCUAGCCAUGAGCAGGUUGAAGGUUGGGUAACACCAACUGGAGGACCGAACCCGCAUCUGUUGCAAUAGAUUGGGAUGACUUGUGGCUAGGGGUGAAAGGCCAAUCAAACUCGGAAAUAGCUGGUUCUCCGCGAAAUCUAUUUAGGUAGAGCGUCGACCGAAUACCCCCGGGGGUAGAGCACUGGAUGGGCUAUGGGGACUCACCGUCUUACUGAUCCUAACCAAACUCCGAAUACCGGGGAGUACUAGUCGGCAGACACACGGCGGGUGCUAACGUCCGUCGUGAAGAGGGCAACAACCCUGACCUCCAGCUAAGGUCCCCAAGUCAUGGCUAAGUGGGAAAGGAUGUGAGGAUCCCAAAACAACCAGGAUGUUGGCUUAGAAGCAGCCAUCAUUUAAAGAAAGCGUAACAGCUCACUGGUCUAAACAAGGGUCUUUGCGCCGAAAAUGUAACGGGGCUGAAGCCAUGCACCGAAGCUGAGGAUACGUCGCAAGACGUGUGGUAGCGGAGCGUUCCGUAAGCCCGUGAAGGGAUACCCGUGAGGGGUCCUGGAGGUAUCGGAAGUGCGAAUGUUGACAUGAGUAACGAUAAAGAGGGUGAGAGACCCUCUCGCCGAAAGACCAAGGGUUCCUGCUUAAAGUUAAUCUGAGCAGGGUUAGCCGGCCCCUAAGACGAGGCGGACACGCGUAGUCGAUGGGAACCACGUUAAUAUUCGUGGGCCUGGUGGUAGUGACGGAUCGCUUGACUUGUCCGGACUUAUUGGAUUGUCCGGGCUUGGACGCGGUUCCAGGAAAUAGCUCCACCGUAUAGACCGUACCCGAAACCGACACAGGUGGUCAGGUAGAGUAUACCAAGGCGCUUGAGAGAACUAUGUUGAAGGAACUCGGCAAAUUGCACGCGUAACUUCGGAAGAAGCGUGACCCCAUUAUGGGCAACCAUGAUGGGGUGGCACAGACCAGGGGGUAGCGACUGUUUAUCAAAAACACAGGGCUCUGCGAAGUCGCAAGACGACGUAUAGGGUCUGACGCCUGCCCGGUGCUGGAAGGUUAAGAGGAGGGGUGCAAGCUCUGAAUCGAAGCCCCAGUAAACGGCGGCCGUAACUAUAACGGUCCUAAGGUAGCGAAAUUCCUUGUCGGGUAAGUUCCGACCUGCACGAAUGGCGUAACGACUUCCCCGCUGUCUCCAACAUAGACUCAGUGAAAUUGAAUUCCCCGUGAAGAUGCGGGGUUCCUGCGGUCAGACGGAAAGACCCCGUGCACCUUUACUAUAGCUUUACACUGGCAUUCGUGUCGGCAUGUGUAGGAUAGGUGGUAGGCUUUGAAGCGGGGACGCCAGUUCUCGUGGAGCCAUCCUUGAAAUACCACCCUUAUCGUCAUGGAUGUCUAACCGCGGUCCGUCAUCCGGAUCCGGGACAGUGUAUGGUGGGUAGUUUGACUGGGGCGGUCGCCUCCGAAAGAGUAACGGAGGCGCGCGAUGGUGGGCUCAGAGCGGUCGGAAAUCGCUCGUCGAGUGCAAUGGCAUAAGCCCGCCUGACUGCGAGACUGACAAGUCGAGCAGAGACGAAAGUCGGUCAUAGUGAUCCGGUGGUCCCGCGUGGAAGGGCCAUCGCUCAACGGAUAAAAGGUACGCCGGGGAUAACAGGCUGAUGACCCCCAAGAGUCCAUAUCGACGGGGUUGUUUGGCACCUCGAUGUCGGCUCAUCGCAUCCUGGGGCUGGAGCAGGUCCCAAGGGUUUGGCUGUUCGCCAAUUAAAGCGGUACGUGAGCUGGGUUCAGAACGUCGUGAGACAGUUCGGUCCCUAUCUGCCGUGGGUGUAGGAAUAUUGACAGGAUCUGUCCCUAGUACGAGAGGACCGGGAUGGACAUAUCUCUGGUGGACCUGUUGUCCUGCCAAGGGCAUAGCAGGGUAGCUAUAUAUGGAAGGGAUAACCGCUGAAGGCAUCUAAGCGGGAAACCCACCUGAAAACGAGUAUUCCCUCGAGAACCGUGGAAGACGACCACGUUGAUAGGCCGGGUGUGGAAGUGCGGCAACGCAUGAAGCUUACCGGUACUAAUCGUUCGAUCGGCUUGAUCGU